AAAAUUUAGUUAAUUUAUAACAUUAGCUUGUCAAGCUAAAAUUAUUCGAUGUGAGAAUAAUUUUUA
rnacentral:tRNA from 1 species